rnacentral:rRNA from 1 species
UACGUAGGGCGCAAGCGUUGUCCGGAAUUAUUGGGCGUAAAGAGCUCGUAGGCGGCUUGUCGCGUCGAUUGUGAAAGCCCGGGGCUUAACUCCGGGUCUGCAGUCGAUACGGGCAGGCUAGAGUUCGGUAGGGGAGAUCGGAAUUCCUGGUGUAGCGGUGGAAUGCGCAGAUAUCGGGAGGAACACCCGUGGCGAAGGCGGCCCCCUGGUUGGAUACUGACGCUGAGACGCGAAAGCGUGGGGAGCAAACAGG